rnacentral:rRNA from 1 species
GACGGAGGGUGCUAGCGUUGUUCGGAAUUACUGGGCGUAAAGCGUGCGCAGGCGGUUAUUUAAGUCAGGUGUGAAAGCCCUGGGCUUAACCUAGGAAUUGCGCUUGAGACUGGAUAGCUUGGAGUGCGGCAGAGGGAGGUGGAAUUCCACGUGUAGCAGUGAAAUGCGUAGAGAUGUGGAGGAACACCGAUGGCGAAGGCAGCCUCCUGGGCCAGCACUGACGCUCAUGCACGAAAGCGUGGGGAGCAAACAGG